GAUGAACGCUGGCGGCGUGCCUAAUACAUGCAAGUCGAGCGAACAGAUGAGGAGCUUGCUCCUCUGACGUUAGCGGCGGACGGGUGAGUAACACGUGGAUAACCUACCUAUAAGACUGGGAUAACUUCGGGAAACCGGAGCUAAUACCGGAUAAUAUAUUGAACCGCAUGGUUCAAUAGUGAAAGACGGUUUUGCUGUCACUUAUAGAUGGAUCCGCGCCGCAUUAGCUAGUUGGUAAGGUAACGGCUUACCAAGGCAACGAUGCGUAGCCGACCUGAGAGGGUGAUAGGCCACACUGGAACUGAGACACGGUCCAGACUCCUACGGGAGGCAGCAAUAGGGAAUCUUCCGCAAUGGGCGAAAGCCUGACGGAGCAACGCCGCGUGAGUGAUGAAGGUCUUCGGAUCGUAAAACUCUGUUAUUAGGGAAGAACAAAUGUGUAAGUAACUAUGCACGUCUUGACGGUACCUAAUCAGAAAGCCACGGCUAACUACGUG
rnacentral:rRNA from 1 species